UUUUCUGUGGCUUAGUCAGAAGAGCAUUCUACUAGGAAUGCAAAGGUCAUGGGUUUAAACCCCAGGAAAAG